rnacentral:rRNA from 1 species
UACGAAGGGGGCUAGCGUUGCUCGGAAUGACUGGGCGUAAAGCGUGCGCAGGCGGCUUUGCAAGACAGAUGUGAAAUCCCCAGGCUUAACCUGGGAACUGCAUCCGAUACUGGAUGGCUUGAAUCCGGGAGAGGGAUGCAGAAUUCCAGGUGUAGCGGUGAAAUGCGCAGAUAUCAGGAAGAACACCCGUGGGCGAAGGCGGUUCUCUGGGACGGUACUGACGCUGGAGACGCGAAAGCGUGGGGAGCGAACAGG